rnacentral:rRNA from 1 species
AUUGAACGCUAGCGGCAUGCCUUACACAUGCAAGUCGAACGGCAGCGCGGGAGCAAUCCUGGCGGCGAGUGGCGAACGGGUGAGUAAUGCAUCGGAACGUGCCCAUCGAUGGGGGAUAACUGCGCGAAAGCGUUGCUAAUACCGCAUACGACCUACGGGUGAAAGCAGGGGACCGCAAGGCCUUGCGUCGAUGGAGCGGCCGAUGUCGGAUUAGCUAGUUGGUGAGGUAAAGGCUCACCAAGGCGACGAUCCGUAGCUGGUCUGAGAGGACGACCCAGCCACACUGGGACUGAGACACGGCCCAGACUCCUACGGGAGGCAGCAGUGGGGAAUCUUGGACAAUGGGCGCAAGCCUGAUCCAGCAAUGCCGCGUGUGGGAAGAAGGCCUUCGGGUUGUAAACCACUUUUGGCAGGAAAGAAAUCGUUCGGGCCAAUACCCUGGAUGGAUGACGGUACCUGCAGAAUAAGCACCGGCUAACUACGUG